GACGAACGCUGGCGGCGUGCUUAACACAUGCAAGUCGAACGAUGAAGAAAAGAAUCGAAGCUUCGGCAGAAAUUCAUUUCGGAUUAGUGGCAGACGGGUGAGUAACGCGUGAGCAACCUACCUCUUACAAAGGGAUAGCCUCGGGAAACCGGGAUUAAUACCAUCUAACAUUGUGACGAAGCAUUUCGAUGCAAUCAAAGCUACGGCGGUAAGAGAUGGGCUCGCGUCUCAUUAACCGGAUGGUGAGGUAACGGCUCACCAUAGCGACGAUGGGUAACCGGCCUGAGAGGGUGAACGGUCACACUGGAACUGAGACACGGUCCAGACUCCUACGGGAGGCAGCAGUGGGGAAUAUUGCACAAUGGAGGGAACUCUGAUGCAGCGACGCCGCGUGAGUGAUGAAGGAAUUCGUUUCGUAAAACUCUGUUCUAUGGGAAGAAAAGGACUGUACCAUAGGAGAAAGCUCCGGCUAAAUACGUG
rnacentral:rRNA from 1 species